GCGCCCCUCGCCUGGCCACUAGCGGACACCGCCUGGGCGCCAGGAUCUCGGUGCGCAGCUGGGCUGCUGUGCCGCCCAGUCCACGCGCGUCCGUCUGUACCUCAGCCGCCGCCACCAGCUGCAUUUUCAAAGAGGAAGAGAGCAGGAAGGCUGCCAGGUGCCCUGUCGGGAGAGAAAUCAAAAGGCAAGUUGCUUGUGUGGACUGCCGAGGACAGAAGUGGUCUCGACGGAAGUCAGGCCGUGUUCAGAGCCAACAUACUGCAGGUGCGCUAGAGGGAGGGUGUUCAAAACAGAGAAAUCUGAGGCUUAGUUUUUGGACCGAGCUAACAUGUAUGUGGGCGGCGGUACCAAGACAGCAACGUGGAGGGGAAGAGCAUGUUCGCUCGGCACAGUCGGAUUCGAGAACUGCACGCUGGCACAGCAGCGGAGGUGUGGAUGGUACCAGGGGAUGGACCGCCACUGGUCUGUGCCCCGGAGCUGUGCCCCCUCUGCCCUGGGUGCUGGGCGCACCCACCUGCACUGGAGGGAGACAGGCAGGGCCUGGUAUUCUGCCCCCACUUGCUCCCGCCCACCAACGCCAGUCCUGGUGCCCGCUCUGCUCUCAGCUCCUGUCCCUCUCAGUGUCUGAGGCCCAAGGGGGCAACCCCCGGCCUCCGGAGACCUCCACCCCAAGGUGUCUCUUCCCAUGCAUCGCCCUGCCAGACCCUAAGGGUCACCCAGAGGAAGACGUCUAGACUGGGAGGACACGGGGCCCACAGCAGCCAGAGCAGCGCCAGGAAGCCAGGCGCUGCUAGGGAAACAGCCUUCACCUGGGCAGGGCAGGAGCCACGUUGGAGGAAGAAACAGCCCCCAGGAACCACAAGGAAGGUGCCUUGUGGGUGCGCGCACCUCCAGGGAAGACUGCACUGCCGCUCCGUGAGUGCCGAGGGGCGCAGAGACGUGCAGCCGUGGCUGGGGAGGGGCGGCAUGCGGGGCUCUGGUGCUGUAGAGGCUGGCGUCUUGGGGUUUGCAAGCUGCAGGGAGUGGGUCACUCGGGAGAGACUGCUGGUGCAGGAAGGGGUGCGCUGCCAGGAGGACGGGCCGCAGGACUCGGGACAGUUUUUCCUUUUUCCAGGAACAGACCUGACGGCGCAGGCAGCUGAUCGAUUAAUCUGGGGGAAGAUGAGGACUUUCUGUCACGUUCUCAUUUCUCAGUGAAGCCAGAAAGAUGAGGCUGGGAAGGGGCCUUUUAGGAACCCUUGGGGUGUGGGAGAGAAUCCCCGAG
ensembl:lncRNA